AGCGAACGCUGGCGGCAGGCCUAACACAUGCAAGUCGAACGAACCCUUCGGGGUUAGUGGCGGACGGGUGAGUAACACGUGGGAACGUGCCUUUAGGUUCGGAAUAACUCAGGGAAACUUGUGCUAAUACCGAAUGUGCCCUUCGGGGGAAAGCUUUAUCGCCUUUAGAGCGGCCCGCGUCUGAUUAGCUAGUUGGUGAGGUAAUGGCUCACCAAGGCUACGAUCAGUAGCUGGUCUGAGAGGAUUACCAGCCACAUUGGGACUGAGACACGGCCCAAACUCCUACGGGAGGCAGCAGUGGGGAAUCUUGCGCAAUGGGCGAAAGCCUGACGCAGCCAUGCCGCGUGGAUGAUGAAGGUCUUAGGAUUGUAAAAUCCUUUCACCGGUGAAGAUAAUGACUGUAGCCGGAGAAGAAGCCCCGGCUAACUUCGUGCCAGCAGCCGCCGUAAAAC
rnacentral:rRNA from 1 species